rnacentral:lncRNA from 1 species
AAAAGAGGAAGAAACUAAGGCCGAGGGUGAAUUUCUGCUAUUGGCUUCUCUCUUGGGAGCUGCGGUGUUCUCAACGUCAGUUUCCUGGGUCAUGAAGGACCCCUGGUUUGCCCAUGCUUUGUUUCAAAUUCUUUCGCCCAUAAGCAGUAGACACCUUUCUUCAUCCUUUUAGCUGUUCCUCACUAGGCUACCACUGGCCAGACAUCUUAAACUUUCUCACUGAGGCUGGGGCUCCGGAGUCUCCGGGGUUCUUGUCGUUACCCUGGCUGCAACACAGGUGUCCCUCAGAGAGCUGGGGCACCAGAGCUGAUGAGAAAUCAAAAAACUUUCGCUCGCCCUAAGCAUCUGCGGUCAGUCUAAACCAGAGAUAGGAGUCUUUGCAGCAACACACGCACGUUUUGUCCUGGGCUCUGCCCCCAUCCCGCUGCACACACCCUGGGAGCCACCUUUCGGCAGAACAUCCCUCCCCCCGCACCCGUUACUAUCCUCAAGUCCGGCAAUCGGGGCGGGAGGGCUCCCGGUGCGCCUCUGGCUCGCGCGGCCUCCGCCCGAGCUGCGUGGCCGCGUGCGCACCGGGCGCUCGAGUCUCCGAGCAUGGCAGAUUUCCACCGGAUGACAUCAUGGGAGCGAGUGAGUGCCGGCUCUACCCGGGGCGGGGGUUGGGGGGGGGUGGGGGCGAAGGGGAGGGGAAAGGAGGGGAGAGGCUGCGAAGCAGAGCCAGAGCUGCUGCCUGGGGCCGGCUGUCUGUCCGCCAGCCGGGGAGGAGCGCUCCGGCCGCCGCUGACAAAGGAUGGGAGGAUGCCUGCACCCCGGGAUUCGGGCUGCGCGAAGCCCGGCGGUCGCCUGAGCGGCUUCGUUUCCCUCCGCUGCUGGACAGACGUCCUGAACCACAGCAUCUCUGGCCAUGGGACAUUUACACCUCCUCUUUGCUCUGCUUCUUGGUUCGCUCUACAUGAACGGACUUAUAUCUGGGGAAAUGUACCCAGGAAGAGUUUUGAGAGUAUCUUCCUAAUUGUCCUGCUGGGAUUAAACAGGACACCACUGUUUUUCGUAAGUUUGUCUAUUUUUAAUCUUAAUAAGGAAGAUUUUUCCACUGCAGAAAACUUUUUUUUAUUUCAUUUGGAAUUAGAGUUGAAUUUUGAUUCAAUGGGAGAUGUAAUUGAUUUUUUUUCAAGCUUUCUUUUACCUACAUAUUAUUCAAUUUCAAUGAAUCGUGGAAAAGCAUUUCUUUGUUAG